rnacentral:sRNA from 1 species
AGGGGGCCUCAGGGCCCCCCCCCCAGCUAUGGACGAACGGCUACUGGGGCCGCCCCCUCCAGGCGGGGGCCGGGGGGGCCUGGGAUUGGUGAGUGGGGAGCCUGGGGGCCCUGGCGAGCCUCCCGGUGGCGGAGACCCCGGUGGGGGUAGCGGGGGGGUCCCGGGAGGCCGAGGGAAGCAAGACAUCGGGGACAUUCUGCAGCAGAUAAUGACCAUCACCGACCAGAGCCUGGACGAGGCCCAGGCCAAGAAACACGCCCUAAACUGCCACCGAAUGAAGCCUGCUCUCUUUAGCGUCCUGUGUGAAAUCAAGGAGAAAACCGGCCUCAGCAUUCGGAGCUCCCAGGAGGAGGAGCCGGUGGACCCACAGCUGAUGCGCUUGGACAACAUGCUUCUGGCAGAGGGUGUGGCUGGGCCCGAGAAAGGGGGCGGCUCAGCAGCAGCAGCUGCAGCCGCUGCAGCCUCUGGUGGUGGCGUGUCCCCUGACAACUCCAUCGAACACUCGGACUAUCGCAGCAAACUUGCCCAGAUCCGUCACAUAUACCACUCGGAGCUGGAGAAGUAUGAGCAGGCAUGUAAUGAGUUCACGACCCAUGUCAUGAACCUGCUGAGGGAGCAGAGCCGCACCAGGCCCGUGGCCCCCAAAGAGAUGGAACGCAUGGUGAGCAUCAUCCAUCGAAAGUUCAGCGCCAUCCAGAUGCAGCUGAAGCAGAGCACCUGCGAGGCUGUGAUGAUCCUGCGCUCCCGUUUCCUGGAUGCCAGACGAAAGCGCCGUAACUUCAGCAAACAGGCCACUGAGGUCCUAAAUGAGUAUUUCUACUCCCACCUGAGUAACCCAUAUCCUAGUGAGGAGGCCAAGGAGGAGCUUGCCAAGAAGUGUGGCAUCACCGUGUCUCAGGUCUCCAACUGGUUUGGCAACAAGAGGAUUCGCUAUAAGAAAAACAUCGGAAAGUUCCAAGAGGAGGCAAACAUCUAUGCUGUCAAGACCGCCGUGUCAGUCACCCAGGGGGGCCACAGCCGCACCAGCUCCCCGACACCCCCUUCCUCUGCAGGUGGAUCCCACUGUCACCCCGGCUGACUGUUUUGCACACUUCCUGCUUUUGUUCCCACUUCCUAUCUAGGCAGGAUCAUAGCAGAGAGGGGGCCUUUUGGGGUGAGAGGGACCGAGCUGAGAUAGGCUGGAGAUGUCAGGGGACAGAGGCCAUUCCAGUGAUCUUAGUUCUGCCUUUCUUCCCACGGGUGGCCAAGGAACAGCCUGCUCUUUCUGUGUGUUGGAAUGUUAUUUUGUGGAUAAUUGGAGUAUAGUAGCAUGUCCCCACAA